AUUGAACGCUGGCGGCAGGCCUAACACAUGCAAGUCGAACGAGUGGCGGACGGGUGAGUAAUGUCUGGGAAACUGCCCGAUGGAGGGGGAUAACUACUGGAAAAGGUAGCUAAUACCGCGUACCAUCGGAUGUGACCAGAUGGGAUUGGCUAGUUGGUUGGGUAAAGGCCUACCAAGGCGACGAUCCGUCACUGGUCGGAGAGGAUGAUCAGUCGCACUGGAACUGAGAAACGGUCCAGACUCCUACGGGGGGCAGCAGUGGGGAAUAUUGGAUAUGGGGCGAAAGCCUUAUCCAGCCAUGCCGCGUGUGUGAAGAAGGUCUUCGGAUUGUAAAGCACUUUAAGUUGGGAGGCGUUACCAACAGAAUAAGCACCGGCUAACUUCGUGCCAGCAGCCGCGGUAAUUC
rnacentral:rRNA from 1 species